rnacentral:sRNA from 1 species
GGAAAGGGGCCCACAGGACCAAGAGCAGGAGAGGGAGCCCAGAGGCUGCUUGGGGUCUCGUCCCUCCAGUUGUAUGUGGACGCCAGGCUUCUAGGCCCUUUGCUUUGGGGCUUGGUCCCCCAGCCUGCUUUCUGAAAUGCCACCUGCUCGCUCCGGUCCUGCACACGGCAGAUAACCCUGCACAGCCCGCCCCGUGAAAUCAAACUGGAAACACUUGCAGCCUAGAUCCCGAGCUGGCCCCGACAUCUGGAGUUCAUUUGCUCAGAGCGAGCCGUCGGUCUGGCCGCAGAGCCCGUUGCUUUUGGACGAACCCGGGAGAAGGGUGACCGCGGAGAUCGAGGCCUCCAAGGGAAAUACGGCAAAACAGGCUCAGCAGGGGCCAGGGGCCACACUGGACCCAAAGGGCAGAAGGGCUCCAUGGGGGCCCCUGGGGAGCGGUGCAAGAGCCACUACGCCGCCUUCUCGGUGGGCCGGAAGAAGCCCAUGCACAGCAACCACUACUACCAGACGGUGAUCUUCGACACGGAGUUCGUGAACCUCUACGGCCACUUCAACAUGUUCACCGGCAAGUUCUACUGCUACGUGCCCGGCAUCUACUUCUUCAGCCUCAACGUGCACACCUGGAACCAGAAGGAGACCUACCUGCACAUCAUGAAGAACGAGGAGGAGGUGGUGAUCUUGUUCGCGCAGGUGGGCGACCGCAGCAUCAUGCAAAGCCAGAGCCUGAUGCUGGAGCUGCGGGAGCAGGACCAGGUGUGGGUGCGCCUCUACAAGGGCGAACGCGAGAACGCCAUCUUCAGCGAGGAGCUGGACACCUACAUCACCUUCAGCGGCUACCUGGUCAAGCACGCCACCGAGCCCUAGCUGGCCGGCCACCUCCUUUCCUCUCGCCACCUUCCACCCCUGCGCUGUGCUGACCCCACCGCCUCUUCCCCCAUCCCUGGACUCCGCCUCCCUGGCUUUGGCAUUCAGUGAGACGCCCUGCACACACGGAAAGCCAAAGCGGUCGGUGCUCCCAGAUCCCGCAGCCUCUGGAGAGAGCUGACGGCAGAUGAAAUCACCAGGGCGGGGCACCCGCGAGAACCCUCGGGG